rnacentral:rRNA from 1 species
UAAUACGAAGGGGGCUAGCGUUGUUCGGAAUUACUGGGCGUAAAGGGCGCGUAGGCGGUGUGUCAAGUCAGGCGUGAAAGCCCCGGGCUCAACCUGGGAACCGCGCUUGAGACUGGCACGCUCGAGUUCGGGAGAGGAUGGUGGAAUUCCCAGUGUAGAGGUGAAAUUCGUAGAUAUUGGGAAGAACACCGAUGGCGAAGGCAGCCAUCUGGACCGACACUGACGCUGAGGCGCGAAAGCGUGGGGAGCAAACAGGAUUAGAUACCCUGGUAGUCCACGCCGUAAACGAUGGAUGCUAGCCGUUGGCAGGCUUGCCUGUCAGUGGCGCAGCUAACGCAUUAAGCAUCCCGCCUGGGGAGUACGGUCGCAAGAUUA